CGGACGGGUGAGUAACGCGUGGGCAACCUGCCCUGUACCGGGGGACAACAGCCAGAAAUGGCUGCUAAUACCGCAUAAGCCUGCUGUGCCGCAUGGCACAGCAGGGAAAACCACGGUGGUACAGGAUGGGCCCGCGUCUGAUAGUUAGUUGGCAGGGUAACGGCCCACCAAGACAUCGAUGGAUAGGGGUUCUGAGAGGAAGGUCCCCCACAUUGGAACUGAGACACGGUCCAA
rnacentral:rRNA from 1 species